CCUACGGGUGGCAGCAGUGAGGAAUAUUGGUCAAUGGGCGAGAGCCUGAACCAGCCAAGUCGCGUGAAGGAUGACGGCCCUACGGGUUGUAAACUUCUUUUGUCAGGGAGCAAUUGAGUCCACGUGUGGUCUUAGCGAGAGUACCUGAAGAAAAAGCAUCGGCUAACUCCGUGCCAGCAGCCGCGGUAAUACGGGGGAUGCGAGCGUUAUCCGGAUUUAUUGGGUUUAAAGGGUGCGUAGGCUGAAUAUCAAGUCAGCGGUAAAAAUUCGGGGCUCAAACCCGUCGUGCCGUUGAAACUGAUGUUCUUGAGUGGGCGAGAAGUAUGCGGAAUGCGUGGUGUAGCGGUGAAAUGCAUCGAUAUCACGCAGAACCCCGAUUGAGAAGGCAGCAUACCGGCGCCCUACUGACGCUGAGGCACGAAAGUGCGGGUAUCGAACAGGAUUAGAUACCCUUGUAGUC
rnacentral:rRNA from 1 species